rnacentral:rRNA from 1 species
CCUACUGGCGGCAGCAGUGAGGAAUAUUGGUCAAUGGACGCAAGUCUGAACCAGCCAUGCCGCGUGCAGGAAGACGGCUCUAUGAGUUGUAAACUGCUUUUGUACGAGGGUAAAUCCCGGUACGUGUAUCGGGUUGAAAGUAUCGUAAGAAUAAGGAUCGGCUAACUCCGUGCCAGCAGCCGCGGUAAUACGGAGGAGUCAAGCGUUAUCCGGAUUUAUUGGGUUUAAAGGGUGCGUAGGCGGUUCGAUAAGUUAGAGGUGUAAUCCCGGGGCUCAACUCCGGCACUGCCUCUGAUACUGUCGGGCUAGAGUUUAGUUGCGGUAGGCGGAAUGUAUGGUGUAGCAGUGAAAUGCAUAGAGAUCAUACAGAACACCAGUGGCGAAGGCGGCUUACUGGACUGUAACUGACGUUGAGGCUCGAAAGCGUGGGGAGCAAACAGGAUUAGAUACCCCAGUAGUC